UGCCAUCACGGUGGUGUACUAGGCGAGGUGAGGUGGCAGUGAGGUUGGUGCAGUGCAAACAUGCCAAUGGAGCCAAUCUGAUCCCCCCAGUUGGUGUGUUUGCACCAUGCCAGCCUCGCUGCUGCCUUGCCCCUUAUCCUCCUGGUGCACCACAGUGAUGGU